rnacentral:rRNA from 1 species
AGAGUUUGAUCCUGGCUCAGGAUGAACGCUAGCGGCAGGCUUAAUACAUGCAAGUCGAGGGGCAGCACAGGUAGCAAUACUGGGUGGCGACCGGCAAACGGGUGCGGAACACGUACGCAACUUACCUCUAACUAAGGAAUAGCCCAGAGAAAUUUGGAUUAAUACCUUAUAGAAUAGUCGGAUUGCAUAAUCUGAUUAUU